rnacentral:lncRNA from 1 species
GGGUAUUAUUUUUUCUCUGUUGACUGCUAAUGUUUCAAUGGAGUUGGGUUUCUCAAGAAGUGGUUGUCAGUGGGAUACUGGAGUAGUAUUUGGGGGAUUCCUGAUAACUUUUCUGAUAUUAUUUUAUUUUAUCCUUUUGUUCUUUUCCAAAAGUUCUCUCUCUUUCAGAAUUUCCCAAAAAUCUAGCGUUAUUCCUCUUCUUUCUGCUCUCUGCCACUUUUUCCUCCUUCUUCUUCUUGUCACUAUUUUUAUUUCUAUUUUCUAUUUGCUGUCAAAUUUAUGUAUCCCAUUAUUUUAGUGCUUUUUGUUCGUUACUGG